rnacentral:ncRNA from 1 species
GUAAAGAUAGAGAAGAGGAGAGUAAGUAUAGAGUAUUGAUUAUAGCGAGCUGAUGUUGGUGGAAGAUCAGUAUUAAAUCUAUAUGGAAGAACACCUCGGAAUUUCUAACCGAAAUUAUAAAUUUAUUUAUAAAAGUAGACUUAGACGGGACCAAGCCGUUAAAAUUGGAAAGUAUAAUAUUGUACUUAUAAAGUGAUCAUGUUUUAUGAUAAAUUAGGUGGUACCGCGAAUAUAUAACCUUCGUCCUGAUA